rnacentral:rRNA from 1 species
AUUGAACGCUGGCGGCAGGCCUAACACAUGCAAGUCGAGCGGAGCGGCGGACGGGCGAGUGAUGCCUAGGAAUCUGCCUGGCAGUGGGGGAUAACGUCCGCCAACGGGCGCUAAUACCGCAUACUAUAAGAUGAGGCUAGGUCGGAUUAGCUAGUGGGUGGGGUAAGGGCCUACCAAGGCGACGAUCCGUAACUGGGCUGAGAGGAUGAUCAGUCACACUGGAACUGAGACACGGUCCAGACUCCUACGGGAGGCAGCAGUGGGGAAUAUUGGACAAUGGGCGAAAGCCUGAUCCAGCCAUGCCGCGUGUGUGAAGAAGGUCUUCGGAUUGUAAAGCACUUUAAGUUGGGAGGCGUUACCAACAGAAUAAGCACCGGCUAACUUCGUGCCAGCAGCCGCGGUAAUAC